CCCUGCGUCCCUGCGUGAUGACGGCUCCCAUGGAGGCCCACGCCACAGUGCCAGCUCUCAGGGUUCGUGUACUGAGAUUUCCUUCCUCCUGUCACUCUCCCAACUAAUGGAAGCUUCUGGGCCCCUGACUGAUAUAUAUACUCAGAGACAUCCACAUCUGUGUCUAAUCCACUGAAAGGGCCAGCCUUGACCUCGUUCAUCACUGGAAGCAGAGAGACGACAAUGUCCAAUGCUGGUUAACUUAUCUGCAACACAGAACUUCCAGAUUCCAAGCAAGAAAUGGUAAGCAUGGAGAUCAUCUUUGGGAUUAGAAAAUACCAUCAUGUUCAUUUGAGACCUGGAAAAGCACACUCAAGAUACAGAAGAAAUUGGAGACUGUUCAUACCCACGAAUAACAUAAAGGAGUUUCCCCCAUCUCUGUGGGGGGAUGAACCUGGGCAAAGGAACAGAAGGAAUAGUCUGGGCACUCAGCCCUCACUCCCUGCACCCAUAGGAAAACAGAGAGAGCCACUUUCUCUGAUGUCCAGGUAGGUAAUCUUGUCUUUGGAUUUGU